rnacentral:lncRNA from 1 species
UUUUGGGUCAUGGUUCUUUAUUUUUGCAAUCUCCAUAGUCGCAUAUUGCUCUCUCACACCCUUUUUUUUGAUUUUAUAUAUUUUCUUUUAUUAUUAGUUUUUAUUUUUAAUUGUUAUAAUUAAUUAAUUAAAUAAAUGAUAAAGAAAAUAAAUAUUUUCAAUAAACAAGAACCCUUAAUCCAAUGUCAAGUCGUAUUUUCAAAC